GAGAGUCUUUUUCCCCGCGUGACUCAGGAAAUCCAUCCUCCCAUAGAGAGGCACAUGCACCGACCUUCAGGACAGAGUCCCACGAGGAGAAGACCCCGCCCCCGCCCCUUAGCGGGCUCGGGGCUGGUGGUAGCGUCCAGACGGCCAUCCAAUCGGAAUGCUCCAACACAGCGGAAACGCGUGGCUUUGUGGGGGAGGGGCUCCCGGCUACCCUGGUCACCAAGGCGACGGCCUCGGGACGGCCCCGGCGUCGGAGGGGCGGGGUCGGGGUUUCCCCAGCCCGAGAGGGAAGAGUUGCGGGCGGAGCCCGGUCCUGAGGUCCCGCCCCGCAGGACCGGAGUUCCCUGGCGGCUCUCCGGACAGGGACAAGCACGUAAAUGCAGGCCCUGAUGGAGCAGGCUCUCCAUAGCCCUGGUCCCAGACACGUGAUCCUCAAGCCACUUCCCGGAGCUGGGGACACAGUAUCUCCACUUCGCAGAUGCAAAGCUGCAGUCCAGAAGGGGAGGAUAUGAGUCACAGGGAAGACGCCAGCCAGGCCCAGAGCUGCCCAGAAUAAGGACAGAAACUCCCAGGCCUUCCCAUCUGGAUGGCCUUGGGCAAGUCACUUCCCCUCUGCUCUGUGGUUUCUCACCUGCCAACGAGGUGAGGAUUGUCGUCUCCUGGGGUGAGGAUGCAGAUCACAUAGAGCCACCUUCAGGAGAGUGCCCACUGACCAUCGCAAGCACGUGUGUGAGCUGUUCUCCUCAUCUCCC